rnacentral:tRNA from 2 species
GCGGGAAUGUCGGAAUUGGCAGACGAGCAAGACUAAGGAUCUUGUGACCGCUUAGGUCGUGAGGGUUCAAGUCCCUUUUCCCGCACGA